rnacentral:tRNA from 1 species
GGGUCCGUGGUUAAAUGGUAUAAUUUGCGACUCCAGAUCGCAAGUCGGGAGUUCGAUUCUCUCCGGGCCCA